UCUAAUCUUUCACUUGAUAUUCUAAGUUGUCUAAUACAUUGCCAAAGCUCCCUGAGGAUACGAUCUCGGUCUUCUGAGUUAUUUGUUUCGUGACACGUUUUGUGACUACACCAUAUAUUCGCGCGACCACAUAAUAAAUUACACAUCAUGAAUUAUUUAUAUAGCUAUACCCUUGAAAGAAUAGAAAGAGGACCUUGGAAAAGCGGGGCAAACUCCACUUGAUCUGCUAUGAAUCAUCACAAGCUCUUGUAUCCGUUUAGAAGCUUACCUGAAAAGAUAACCAAAAAAAAUUAAAGAAAUACAAAGCAGUACAAAGUAACCAAUGUUCAAUGAUCACUAAAACCAUCAAUGUUGACUGAAGAGACAUAGAACAAGUUUGUGCGCGGGAAAAAAAAAUGAAGAAGCAUAAGCCAAUCUUUUCAUGAACCACUUCGUACAAGAUUCUGGUUAACAAUGGACAACCUUUGCAAGAGAAAUGAAAAUGAAAAAAAAAACAAAGAGAAAGGGUUUUGUUCAGAUAUUAGAAAUGCAACUAGGUUGCCGUUGUAAUAAAUUGGUGUGGCAAAUAGAAACUACCACCAAAAUCCAAGAGGGUGAAGAAGAGACCAAACAGCUGGCAGUAUGACUUGAAAAUAGGGUUAGACACAAAACUAAGAAUUCAAAUCAAAGGUUUGCACUUAAAUUCCUGCUAUAAUCUUGAAAAAAGAAGAAUUAAUUUGUCACUAAGUACCUAAAUUGAAAUGAAACUUACUGAAUUUAGCUCCGAAACCUCCUCUGUAGCUAGCCAUAUUCAGUUUGUUGUCACGUAGAACCAAUUUUG
rnacentral:lncRNA from 1 species